AUGGGGCUCCUCGACCAGCUCUGGGACGAAACGGUCGCCGGCCCGCGGCCGGACCACGGCCUCGGCAGGCUCCGCAAGUACUCCUCCUUCUCGACCUCCACCCCGGCGGCCGCGGACGUCGCGCCGGCGGUGACCCGCAGCAUCACCAUCGCCCGGCCACCGUCCCUCUCUCUCCCGUCCGGCGAAUCAAACUCCGUGCCGUCAUCACCGGCCAGUGGGCCGGACUCUCCGUUGGCAGCAGCUACCAGUAGCACGGCGAGGGUGGACGGCUGGAGGGCGUUCCGCCCGAAAUCCAAGAUGGCCAACGUCGACGUCGUCCAGUCGGAGGCCACCGUCGGGCCCAGGAGCCCCACCGUGUACGACUGGGUGGUGAUCAGUUCAUUGGACCGAUGA
rnacentral:rRNA from 1 species